GAUGAACGCUGGCGGCGUGCCUAAUACAUGCAAGUCGAGCGAACAGACGAGGAGCUUGCUCCUCUGACGUUAGCGGCGGACGGGUGAGUAACACGUGGAUAACCUACCUAUAAGACUGGGAUAACUUCGGGAUACCGGAGCUAAUACCGGAUAAUAUAUUGAACCGCAUGGUUCAAUAGUGAAAGACGGUUUUGCUGUCACUUAUAGAUGGAUCCGCGCCGCAUUAGCUAGUUGGUAAGGUAACGGCUUACCAAGGCGACGAUGCGUAGCCGACCUGAGAGGGUGAUCGGCCACACUGGAAUUGAGACACGGUCCAGACUCCUACGGGAGGCAGCAGUAGGGAAUCUUCCGCAAUGGGCGAAAGCCUGACGGAGCAACGCCGCGUGAGUGAUGAAGGUCUUCGGAUCGUAAAACUCUGUUAUUAGGGAAGAACAAAUGUGUAAGUAACUAUGCACGUCUUGACGGUACCUAAUCAGAAAGCCACGGCUAACUACGUG
rnacentral:rRNA from 1 species